CCUACGGGAGGCAGCAGUGGGGAAUAUUGCACAAUGGGGGAAACCCUGAUGCAGCGACGCCGCGUGAGUGAAAAAGUAUUUCGGUAUGUAAAGCUCUAUCAGCAGGGAAGAAAAUGACGGUACCUGAUUAUGAAGCCCCGGCUAACUACGUGCCAGCAGCCGCGGUAAUACGGAGGGGGCACGCGUUAUCCGGAUUUACUGGGUGUAAAGGGAGCGUAGACGGCAGCGCAAGUCUGAAGUGAAAUGCCGGGGCUUAACCCCGGAACUGCGUUGGACACUGUGCAGCUAGAGUGCAGAUGAGUUAAGAGGAAUUCGUGGUGUAGCGGUGAAAUGCGUAGAUAUUAGAAGGAACACCAGCGGCGAAGGCGGCUUACGGGACUGUAACUGACGUUGAGGCUCGAAAGCGUGGGGAGCAAACAGGAUUAGAUACCCGAGUAGUC
rnacentral:rRNA from 1 species